UACGGAGGGUGCAAGCGUUGUUCGGAAUUACUGGGCGUAAAGGGCGCGUAGGCGGUUGUGCAAGUCAGGUGUGAAAUCCUCCGGCUUAACCGGAGAACUGCAUUUGAAACUGCAUGACUCGAGUACAGAAGAGGGAAACGGAAUUCCCGGUGUAGAGGUGAAAUUCGUAGAUAUCGGGAGGAACACCAGUGGCGAAGGCGGUUUCCUGGUCUGAUACUGACGCUGAGGCGCGAAAGCGUGGGGAGCAAACAGG
rnacentral:rRNA from 1 species